rnacentral:misc_RNA from 1 species
GGUAGUUAAUAUAUUAAGGGGCAUAUGCUUAUCUGAUUUUCUUGUAAAUUCCUUUUCCUUUUGUAAAUUUGUAAAAUUCAGGAAAUGACUUCCUAUUUUAAAAAUGGGAGUCAUUUUCCUUCAAAAAGGGUUACUUUUGCCCUUCCACCUAGAAACUAUUCUCCAUUGACCAAUUUUUUGAGGACUCCAACUAUCGAAAAUGCAUUUAAUGUUUUUUGAGGAGAUAUUUCUGUGAAACAAAUGGAGCCAAUAUAUCAGGAUGUCGUAAUUUGAUCAUUCACUUUUUAAAGUUCAUAUUCUGUGUCAUAACAUAUGAUCAUUUGUAGUUUUUUAGUUUUUCAGAGUAGGAGAAUAUGAAAAAGAAUGAAUUCAUUUAUUUCAUCCAUAUUGAAGGCAUAAGAUCAUGGAGAUUGUUUUUGGGAUGGGAAUAUUAAGUUGCCUUCCUUUUCACCUUUCUUCAUUGGCCUAGAAAUGUUUGUGAAGUGUAUUUGUAAAGUUUAAUUAUCAGACAGGUGAAAUUUGGUUACCCACUGAUGUGUCAACCACCAUGGAGUCUGCUUGUACUGGACAAUCUCAGUUUAUGUUUCUUGUUUGUCCCUCAAUUUUAAAUAAUAUUAUUGCAGUAGAUAUUUAUAUGAGAAAGUUAUAUAUGUUAUUACAGUCCUUU